GUAGGUGAACCUGCGGAAGGAUCAUUAUUGAAAUAAACCUGAUGGGUUGUUGCUGGCUCUCUAGGGAGCAUGUGCACGCCUUGUCAUCUUUAUAUCUUCACCUGUGCACCUUUUGUAGACCUUUCAGGUCUAUGUUGCUUCAUUUUUCCCCAAUGUAUGUUAAUAGAAUGUUGUGCCCUGUUAUAAUAUAUACAACUUUCAGCAACGGAUCUCUUGGCUCUC
rnacentral:misc_RNA from 1 species